UCAUUUUAUCUGCUCACCCCUCCUUUUGACCUCGUGUGUUUUCUAAUAAAAAAAAAAAAAGAAAAGGAAAAAAAAGUACGCGAGAGGUUGGUUCAGAAUGUGUUUGGAGACUGUAACUGGCCUGUCUCUCACGUCCUCCUGAUAAGAAAGACGACUUCUUGUCCGUUAUUUGUGUAACUAUUCCAGCAAGUUAGGCGAUAAACCCAACACUUUCUUGGUCCUUCGAGCCGGAUUUCAAGAUACCCGAGGAUCCCAGCUUCAGAGUCGACCUCCAGGAAGACUGUGGCCACGGCAACACAGAUCCGUUAAGGGACUGGUCCUCGAACUCUCUAACAGGGAUCUGAGGGUUGACGGAAAUCCAACUGACAAGAAGACGUCUUGCUACAAAAUGUUCGCCACACACUUAGACCAUUGCCAGGUUCAUCUGACCCACCCACCUGGCCCGGUGCGGAACUGGUCAUGGAUUUCACAGAUCACUCCUGUUCAAGGUAAGCUCUACCUUCUUGUCUUUGUUGACACCUUUUCUGGAUGGCCUGAAGCUUUCAUGUUGGUAAUGAAAGCUUUGGUGAACCACUGGAUUCCAACACACGGUUUCCCCGCACUCAUCCACUCGGACAACGGUACACAUUUCACAUCCACACACCUAGCUACUCUAGAGCAGUGGUUAGGGUUAACUCACAAGUUUGGUUGUGUUUAUCACCCCGCCAGUCAAGGCUCAGUUGAACAUAUGAAUCGCACGUUGAAGGAAAAACUGGGUAAAAUAUGUACCUCUUCCAGCAUGAACUGGGUUCAGGCUCUUCCCCUUGCUCUAAUGUCUGUGAGACAAACUGUGUCUCGCCCUACUGGUUUCUCUCCUUAUGAACGUCUUACAGGUCGUCUGACGCCUGGCCCUUCCUCCUCACUCCAACCGUUGGAGGAAGGCUGUGUUUCGCAAGUUUUCUCAUAAACUGUUUUGGACACAACUGCAUUCUUUUGCUUCUAAUUUCCCUUCAUAGAUCCAGGACACUCUUCCAACACCACCUCCUGCUCUUGAUCUUCCUGAGUGGUCAUCUGUCUACCUUAAAUGACUCUCUCGUAACUGGUCAGAACCCAUUGGUCUGGCCCCCCACAAGGUGAAUGCUCGUACCUCCAAAGCCGUCCACUUGGAGGAAAAAGGAACUAAGUGGUUUCAUUAUUCUAUACUUCGCCCUGCUACAGACUCUUAAUUGCACUUUUAUUUUGUUUAUUGUUGUUUUAUUAGCCAUGAUUCCUACAGAUGGAUCAAGAGAGGCAGAGCAGGAAUCUAUGGCAUUCUUAUUAUUGGUGUUAUUGUUCAUGGUAUUUUUAUCUGGGAAAACGCUCAGAAAUACUCCAUACGCACAGCCACAUCAGUACCAGCUGUUAGCACAACCCACCCGGAAAAUAUUUAUCACAGAGAAGAGUUGUAUAAUAAACAAAGCCCUAUCUGUUGAUGAUUGGUUUAGGGUUUUGACAGGCGUUAGUGCAGUAAAGAAUAAUUGGUUACUGUCAUGCUCCUGGCUUCCUGCUCAGGCUGGGCGUGGCUAGCCAAUUAGUCAGCGCACAUCUGCACCUUGUCCCAGCUGAUGCCUCCCAGUAUAUAUAGGACCCGGGGGACGACUUGUCCUCCGCCAGAUCGUCGUCCUUGAUGCCUCGUUCCCGCACUCCUGUUUGCCUGACUUCUGCUCUCCGUGUACCGACCCACACCUGUCCACUGACCACCCUCGUAAGCCUGCCGUACUAUUACUUCUGAUUGUUUGGACUGUCUGCCUGAUCCCAGACCUUGGACCGGAUAAAGGUUUCCUCUGCACUGUCUGCUUGUCUCUGGAGUCGUGCAUUUGGGUCCACCCUCAAGCCCCGUUCAUGACAGUUACUAGUGGCAGAACAAGCAGCGAAUAAAACCCCGAGUGGCUGUGUUGUAUGUAUGGGACCUAGACCUUUGUUCCAUGUUAUUUCCUCUUCUGUCAUCUCCACCUGUGUUCCAGAUCUCGUGAAAAAUUAUGUGCCAAUUAAAAAUGAAUGCAAAAUUUGGGAUACUGCUCAACCGGUAACACCAGCCCAAAAGAACAAACCUGUGUUUAAUCGUGCUGUGGCACGCCAAAACCUCACCUGCAUUUUCCUUAAAGAUAAUGGCGCCCCAAUUAACAAUAUCUCUGAUCAGCGUGGAGAGGCCCAGGAAACACCUUUCUUCCAACCUGUCAGCCGUACUGAUGUGUGGUGGUGGUGCAGAGGGGACCGUAUCUUCGACCCCCUCCCACGCAACAGUACGGGUAGAUGUGCACGAGUAACUUUACUUUUGGCUUUUUCCGUUGUUCCUCUCACCCAAGAUGAUCUGGUGGUUGCUCCUGAACACUUCAAUGAAGCUCUUGGCCUAUUACACCGUUCACGUAGGUCCAAACCUACCUGGCUUGGUGCUGACGACCCCACCUAAAUUGACGCUUUUGGCGUCCCCCGUGGUGUCCCAGAUGAGUAUAUACUGACUGAUCAGGUUGUUGCCGGUUUUGAAAAUAUAUAUGUAAUUUCCACUCUUUUCCUCGUUACUCCUAACGAAAAUGUCGACCGUAUCAAUUAUAUACAUUAUAAUGUGCAACGUUUGGGCAAUCCACCCUUGAAGGACUUGAAGUUGUACAUGAGCAACUUAAGGCUACAUCUAUUAUGCCUUUCCAAAAUAGAAUCACAUUAGAUGCACUGUUGGCCGAGAAAGGAGGUGUUUGCCGGAUGACAACACAACCUGGCAGACGCCUCACUAAGGCCAUAGAUGGACUUAGAACCCUUGCUAAGAAAAUGAAGGAACACUCUGGUGUUGACACGUCGAUGUGGGAUAACUGGAUGAAUGUGUUUGGUAAAUCGAAGGGUGUCAUUUCAUCAAUCUUCAUCCCUCUGGCUGUCUUCACCUCUAUUUUCACCAUCUCUGGAUGCUGUUGCAUUCCUUGUAUUCGUUCUCUUUUAACUUGUCUGAUUGAAAGACGACUGGUGUCCCAGCUGAUGGCCGCGGUAAUUAUAUCCUCAUUACACCCCCGCCCCGACACACUCCUCAAGAUGAUUUUAUUGUUGCUAUCGCUCCCCCUGAAAAUGAUUCUAAAUUUCUUUCUAACUUAAAAGGUAUGCUUGGACGAUUGGAGAGGGUUUUAUGAUUUCCAUAUUUAUUGAAGGGUUACUUUUGUGAUUUUCGUGUUUGUUUUUGUGAUCUAUUUCAUAGAUCAAGAGAGGGAAUGAAGACUAUUUUACUUUUAUUGCACUUUCAUUAUUUGCUUAAAUAUGACCGUAUACAUUUAAUCAACAGAUAAAGUGUUGUCCAUUUGCUAAUCAGACAAGGAUGUGCUGUAGAGCCGGUGGUUGUCCUUGAUCUUUGUAUGCAGAAAACCGGCUGGCGUCAUCCUCCUAUCCCAGGCAUUUCCGUGGAGACGAACGACACCAGACACCUCGUGGUACUGGGCAGCUUUUGUCUUCUUUUGCUAUCCUGCCAGAAGACACACGUCUCGUGUGCGGCAGAUACCUAGAUAAGACCCGGACAUCUGUACUGCACAUUCCUUUGUAAUAAAUCCAUUUGCUGUUAA